UACGUAGGGUGCGAGCGUUAAUCGGAAUUACUGGGCGUAAAGCGUGCGCAGGCGGUUUUGUAAGCCAGAUGUGAAAUCCCCGGGCUUAACCUGGGAAUGGCAUUUGGGACUGCAAGGCUUGAGUGCGGCAGAGGAGACUGGAAUUCCUGGUGUAGCAGUGAAAUGCGCAGAUAUCAGGAGGAACACCGGUGGCGAAGGCGGGUCUCUGGGCCGAUACUGACGCUGGGGAGCGAAAGCGUGGGGAGCGAACAGG
rnacentral:rRNA from 1 species